rnacentral:rRNA from 1 species
AACGCAGGCGGUUUGGUAAGUCAGAGGUGAAAGUCCACAGCUUAACUGUGGCACUGCCUUUGAUACUGCCUUUCUUGAGUAGAGUAGGGGGAAGCGGAAUUCCGAGUGUAGAGGUGAAAUUCGUAGAUAUUCGGAGGAACACCGGUGGCGAAGGCGGCUUCCUGGACUCUAACUGACGCUCAUGUUCGAAAGCGUGGGUAGCAAACAGGAUUAGAUACCCUGGUAGUCCACGCCCUAAACGAUGGGCACUAGGUGUGGGAGGUAUCGACCCCUUCCGUGCCGCAGCUAACGCAUUAAGUGCCCCGCCUGGGGAGUACGGCCGCAAGGUUGAA